rnacentral:lncRNA from 1 species
GUUUUAUUUCUUGUGCUUUUUAUACUACCAAAUAUAUAAGCAUAUUUGUGGCUUAUUAAACAUUUUUAACCUCAUUUAUAAUAGCUUCAUAAUAUUCUAUUUUAGAGAAGUUCCAUAGUUUAUUUGGCAAAUCCCUUAUUGUCAGAUACUCAGGUUGUUUCAAAUUAUUUUUCAGUUUCUUGAAGGGAAUGUACAAGUUCUAACCUGGGGAUAAUCACAAUACUUGGCUCAUGGGUCAUAGUGCUGAUUAAAUAAAUUAUUAAAUAAAUUAUUAAAUAAAUAAAUUAUUAUAAAGUGUUUAGGAAAUGAAACAAGUACUGUAUGUGUGUUAGCGAAGGUUAUUCUUUUAGGCCUAUUAUUUUGAUAAUGCUAUAGUUGUUACCAUUUUAUAUGCAUCUUUGAACACAUAAGUGAUUAUUUCCUGGGUCAGAGGGGAGAGCAGUGUGAAGGCUGGCAUAAAAUUCAUCCCCAAUUUAUGGAGGGUGUGCUUGCCACUGACAGGGAGACCAAAGGGGUGGAACUGAGCCCCAGGCUUUGGCUGGAAACAUCUGUCAUGAUCUGACUGUGAUGCCUUACGAAGUAUGAACAAUGAGUUAGUUCACCUCAGGGCUGAAAAAAGGAAGCGUAGAAAGCAUGCAAAAUAGAGACGCCCAGGAAAGUAUCUGCCAGCGCAGCAAAGAGACCAGUUUGCCCUCGAGCUCCAGAUUGAUCAUCUCUCAAAUUGGGCUUCCAUGGACCCGUUGUGUAGAAACACUGCCUGAACCCACUGGG